rnacentral:rRNA from 1 species
UGAGGAACUUGUCCCGGUCUCUGGGAUAACAGUUGGAAACGACUGCUAAUACCGGAUGACGUCGGAACUUCGCAUGGAGUACUGACGAAAGGGUUACUGGAUCGGGAGAGCCUCGCGGCCUAUCAGCUUGUUGGUGGGGUAAUGGCCUACCAAGGCAUCGACGGGUAGCUGGUCUGAGAGGAUGAUCAGCCACACUGGGACUGAGACACGGCCCAGACCUCCUACGGGAGCAG